AAUCACCGGACAUGCCCGUGAGCCAUCCAGGACCACCAGCCCCCAGUCAAUCCACCAGCUGACUACUACCAGAAAGCUGCCUGUGCUUUAAGGAAGACUGUAUACACCGUCUUUAGAGCCUUUGGGGAAAGAAUGAAGAAUUAUGCUCCCUGGCUGCAUCUAAGAAAACAAACAUACAAAUAAUCAAAAGAAAUAAAAAGAAUCCUACUGGCAAACUCAUCUAGUUAAACUACAUUCCACAGUGGAGGGGCAGGAACAGCUUCUUUCCUCCUUUCCUAGAAGGCAAAAAUAGAGACAAAAGCAGUAAGAAAAGGACAGCAUUAUAGCUUCCUGUUCAGCUAAUAUGAUUGUUUCAUCACAAAUAUUUUUUAGUUGCUGCAGUGCUUCAACAGACAACAUAAACUGAACUAACAGACCAGGAAUUAAGCCAAGAACUCUUCAGAGGCCAUCUGAUUUAAUUCUCCCUGCACUUCUGGGAAGAGAAUGUGCUCUGAUGCCCAUGGUACAAACGAAGAAACUGGACUUAAACCGCUUAAAUAACUUGCCCAGGAGAAUAUUUAACUAGUAAAGUGGUGGGGCUGGAAUUUGAAUCCAGGCAGUCUAGAUUCCAAACCACGGGUCUACACUCUUAACUAAAGUGCUACACUGCUUCCUAAAUGAAGAGCUGGAACAAAACACUGUGUAAGGAGUGCUUUAUAUUUUAGGAUCCUACUUUGGAUGAUGGGAAGGGAUAGCUUGGCUUUUAUUUUAACUGUCCUCUGGAGGCCUUGAAACUAAAAAGAAAAGGUGCGACCAUUAGGCUGCUUUCAUGUUGGAGUCCAUCAUUUAAAAUUAUUUUCCAGGAGUUCCCUUUGUGGCUCAGUGGCUAAUGAAUCCAACUAGGAACCAGGAGGUCGUGGGUUCGAUCCCUGGCCUUGCUCAGUGGGUUAAGGAUCCAGUGUUGCUGUGAGCUGUGGUGUAGGUUGCAGACGUGACUCGGAUCCUGUGUUGCUGUGGCUCUGGUGUAGGCCGGUGGCUACAGCUCCGAUUAGACCCCAACCCUGGGAACCUCCAUAAGCCUCCAGGGCAGCCCUAUAAAGACAAUAAAAAAAUAAUAAUAAUAAUUUUAUUUUCCAUUGUUUUUAGUUGUUAAGCGUUGGAUUCAUAGGAGGGAAUGAUGUAUCUUCAUAGUAAUGAAACCUGGUUAAUAUCAGAAUAUGAGAGAUAAGGCCCCCUUCUAUUCCAGAAAAAUUAUAAACAGGAUCCCAAUGCAUGAGAUUAAAAAGGCUCAUAGAUUCACACAACCACCACAAGCUGAGACCUGAACAAGAUAGAACCCACUUGUAACUCAAUUUAUUAAGUCAAUCAAAUGAACUCCCAUACUUGAAGUGCCUUGCAUAUUGUAAAGUGUUGUACAAAUAUACAAAGAGUUCAUUGUUUUUUUGCUAAAUCAAUUCUUUAGGAAUGUAGACAGGAUAGGAAAAAAAAACGGCAGGGCCGUAAAGCCAACAGAGAUUGAAUUUCAUGAUUGAUUCUAUUAUGUGGUUCAUGCCUUAUAGCAAAACAUCCUGGGAAUAUCUUCAGUCUCCUUUGUCAACUUGAUGAGAGCCUCAUGCUUUAACAACUAUUGACAUGACAAGCUGCAUACUUGAGUCUCUCGUAGAGCUCUGUGUAAUAUUAUAAAACAGAGAUGUGGUUCCAUAUUUUCCCAAGUCAUUUAAAUUUUCUCAGUUUCCUUCUCUGUAAAAUGGUUAUUGUAGGAUAGUUGUGAGAUAAGGAUAAAUGUAUAUGAAGAUGCUGCUAUAAGAAUUCAUGCAUUUAUUUGUGUUAUACUUCUUUGAUGUGGAAAAUAUGUACCAAGACCUUACUCCAACAUAGUAAAUUCAAAACCUGGGCCUCUAAGCCAGUGUUUCCCAAAAGGCCUCAUUACAGUCUGUUUGCAACAAAAUUGGAAGGAUAUAAACACUCCAUCCUCAACAAGCUCUCUCUGUCCUUGCAGUGCUCCCCUGGCCCCGCUUUCCCUUUCUUCUACCUUUUUGCAGAUUCCUUAGCAGCUACAGUCAUAUAUCCAGCCAACAUUAGUAUUUUAUUACCGCAAAUAGUGCUCUCCCACUGUCUCCCUACGACCUUUAUUUUCCCUUGUUUGCUGAAAUGUGCUGAAUGAUGAGUCAGUCCGUGGCUUAACACAUGAAAAUAUAAUGGUUUUCUCAGAAAUCGGAAUAGAGAAGCGUCUUUGGUUAAACCACUGUUGAUAUUUAAAAACAGAAUGCGCCUUUUAAAAGUUACAAAGAGGAGUUCCACAUGUGGCUCAGUGGUAACAAACCCAGCUAGCAUCCAUGAGGAUUUGGGUUCGAUCCCUGGCCUCGCUCAUUGGCUUAAGGAUCUGAUGUUGCUGUGAGCUGUGGUGUAGGUUGCACACACAGAUCAGAUCCCGAGUAUCUGUGGCUGUGGUGUAGGCCAGCAGCUGCAGCUCUGAUUCGACCCCUACCCUGGGAACUUCCAUAUGCUGAGGGUGUGACCUUAAAAAAAAAUUUGCAAAGAAUGUGUUGCUAUUAAUAAACAUUCUCUAAGUAUUAAUUGAAGCAAACUCCCCAUAACUCAAAAUGUGUGUUUGCUUUUUAUUUAUUUAUUUGGUCUCUUUAGGAUCCGCCAUGGUUUCAGCUUUGGGACCACACUCUGGUCAAGUCCAUGCAGGCAGGAGCCAGAUAUCUUUAGGAAUUGUCAGGAGGCACCACCUUGGAAGUAAAAGGAGGGAAAGAAAGCAGGAAGAGGCUCCCUGUGUGUGGCUCACUGUUAAAGGGCGAGAUUAUAAUUUUAUUUGUUUAUUUGAUUUUUAGGGCCUCACCUGCAGCAUAUGGAAGUUCCCAGGCAAGGAUCGAAUCAGAGUUGCAGCUGCCAGCCUACGCCACAGCCACAGCAACGUGGGGUCCCAGCCACGUCUGCAGUCUACACCAUAGCUCAUGGCCGUGCCGGAUCACCAACCCACUGAUCGAGGCCAGGGAUUGAACCUGCAUCCUCACAGAUACUAGUCGAAUUUGUUUCCACCGUGUCACAAUGGGAACUCCCUACAUUUUUCUUUUUUACGUGGUUACAGUCUACAGAGUUAUUGAGCUAGUUGGGACUGAGUCCAACAUUCUCUAACUCCAAAGCUCUGCAGUUCCUCUUUUUAAAAAUUAAAAACUUUUUUUUUAAAUUAAAAAUUAUGUAUUUUCAUUUUUUUAAACUUUAAAAUUAAGAAAAAUUAAAUGAGGAGUUCCCGUCGUGGCGCAGUGGUUAACGAAUCCGACUAGGAACCAUGAGGUUGCGGGUUCGAUCCCUGCCCUUGCUCAGUGGGUGAAGGAUCCGGCGUUGCCGUGAGCUGUGGUGUAGGUUGCAGACGCGGCUCGGAUCCUGUGUUGCUGUGGCUCUGGUGUAGGCCGGUGGCUACAGCUCCGAUUGGACCCCUAGGCUGGGAACCUCCAUAUGCCGCAGGAGCGGCCCAAGAAAUAGCAAAAAGACAAAAAAAAAAAAAAAAAAAAAAAAA
rnacentral:lncRNA from 1 species